rnacentral:rRNA from 1 species
UACGUAGGGUGCAAGCAUUAAUCGGAAUUAUUGGGCGUAAAGGGCGCGUAGGCGGAUUGAUAAGUCAGAUGUGAAAUACCAAGGCUCAACCUUGGUGCUGCAUUUGAAACUAUUUUUCUAGAGGAUUGACGGAGAAAGGGGAAUUCCACGAGUAGCGGUGAAAUGCGUAGAUACGUGGAGGAACACCGGUGGCGAAAGCGCCUUUCUAGUUUUUACCUGACGCUGAGGCGCGAGAGCAAGGGGAGCAAAC